GAUGAACGCUGGCGGCGUGCCUAAUACAUGCAAGUCGAGCGAACGGACGAGAAGCUUGCUUCUCUGAUGUUAGCGGCGGACGGGUGAGUAACACGUGGAUAACCUACCUAUAAGACUGGGAUAACUUCGGGAAACCGGAGCUAAUACCGGAUAAUAUUUUGAACCGCAUGGUUCAAAAGUGAAAGACGGUCUUGCUGUCACUUAUAGAUGGAUCCGCGCUGCAUUAGCUAGUUGGUAAGGUAACGGCUUACCAAGGCAACGAUGCAUAGCCGACCUGAGAGGGUGAUCGGCCACCCUGGAACUGAGACACGGUCCAGACUCCUACGGGAGGCAGCAGUAGGGAAUCUUACGCAAUGGGCGAAAGCCUGACGGAGCAACGCCGAGUGAGUGAUGAAGGUCUUCGGAUCGUAAAACUCUGUUAUUAGGGAAGAACAUAUGUGUAAGUAAAUGUGCACAUCUUGACGGUACCUAAUCAGAAAGCCACGGCUAACUACGUG
rnacentral:rRNA from 1 species